GUUUUAGCUCAGUGGUAAAGCACCCGCCUAAGCAUGUGCGAGGCCCUGGGUUUGAUUCUCAGCACCAAACA
rnacentral:tRNA from 1 species